CCAGACUCCUACGGGAGGCAGCAGUGGGGAAUAUUGCACAAUGGGGGAAACCCUGAUGCAGCGACGCCGCGUGAGUGAAGAAGUAUUUCGGUAUGUAAAGCUCUAUCAGCAGGGAAGAAAAUGACGGUACCUGACUAAGAAGCCCCGGCUAACUACGUGCCAGCAGCCGCGGUAAUACGUAGGGGGCAAGCGUUAUCCGGAUUUACUGGGUGUAAAGGGAGCGUAGACGGCAGAGCAAGUCUGAAGUGAAAGCCCGCGGCCCAACUGCGGGACUGCUUUGGAAACUGCCCGGCUAGAGUGCAGGAGAGGAAAGUGGAAUUCCUAGUGUAGCGGUGAAAUGCGUAGAUAUUAGGAGGAACACCAGUGGCGAAGGCGGCCUGCUGGACCGUGACUGACGUUGAGGCUCGAGAGCGUGGGGAGCAAACAGGAUUAGAUACCCCGGUA
rnacentral:rRNA from 1 species